AAAACUCAUUACCAGAUGUCGCCAGUGUCGCCUUUGUUGUUGUUACGUCGUGAAACGAGGCCAAAAGGGCGAAACAAUUGGAUGAUUUUUAAUACUUAUAUUCCUGUUAUUUCAUAUACCAAAUUGAACUUCGUAUCACAUGUCCAUACUGUCAGUCAUUCCAAAAAGUUGACUUAGCGCUCAGUCACUUUCCCUCCAAUAGACCCAUCAUGUUGUCAAAAGCCUAAAACUCAUGCGUGAAGCUCACAUAUCUUGGAAUACAUAUGUGUGGAGACAAGGUAUUUCUCCAUUACUGCUACCACACCAAUCACGUCAAAUGCCUUACUAAAUUCAGCAACAUUCACCCAUAUGAUAAAGCAUCAGGAAAUUUACCUCAACCUAAGGAGUAAGGCUGUUGGUUGCUGUGAUUUCCUUUUUUGUGGUUUUUUGUCAUGAAAACUUCAGUGUGCUUGUUAGUAUAGCACGUAAUAGAUCCUUAAGCCAAUGCUGACCUUUGUCCAUGAAGGAAGAGGGACA